UUCCAGACUCCUACGGGAGGCAGCAGUGGGGAAUAUUGGGCAAUGGGCGAAAGCCUGACCCAGCAAUGCCGCGUGAAUGAAGAAGGUCUUAGGAUUGUAAAAUUCUGUCCUAUGGGAAGAAACAAAUGACGGUACCAUAGGAGGAAGCCCCGGCUAACUACGUGCCAGCAGCCGCGGUAAUACGUAGGUGGCAAGCGUUAUCCGGAUUUACUGGGUGUAAAGGGCGUGUAGGCGGGGACGCAAGUCAGAUGUGAAAACCACGGGCUCAACCUGUGGCCUGCAUUUGAAACUGUGUUUCUUGAGUACUGGAGAGGCAGACGGAAUUCCUAGUGUAGCGGUGAAAUGCGUAGAUAUUAGGAGGAACACCAGUGGCGAAGGCGGUCUGCUGGACAGCAACUGACGCUGAGGCGCGAAAGCGUGGGGAGCAAACAGGAUUAGAUACCCGAGUA
rnacentral:rRNA from 1 species